GACGAACGCUGGCGGCGUGCCUAAUACAUGCAAGUAGAACGCUGAAGGAGGAGCUUGCUUCUCUGGAUGAGUUGCGAACGGGUGAGUAACGCGUAGGUAACCUGCCUGGUAGCGGGGGAUAACUAUUGGAAACGAUAGCUAAUACCGCAUAAUAUUGACUAUUGCAUGAUAGUCAGUUGAAAGGUGCAACUGCACCACUACCAGAUGGACCUGCGUUGUAUUAGCUAGUUGGUGGGGUAACGGCUCACCAAGGCGACGAUACAUAGCCGACCUGAGAGGGGGAUCGGCCACCCUGGGACUGAGACACGGCCCAGACUCCUACGGGAGGCAGCGGUAGGGAAUCUUCGGCAAUGGACGGAAGUCUGACCGAGCAACGCCGCGUGAGUGAAGAAGGUUUUCGGAUCGUAAAGCUCUGUUGUAAGAGAAGAACGAGUGUGAGAGUGGAAAGCUCACACUGUGACGGUAUCUUACCAGAAAGGGACGGCUAACUACGUG
rnacentral:rRNA from 1 species